UACGGGGGGAGCAAGCGUUGUUCGGAAUCACUGGGCGUAAAGGGCGUGUAGGCGGUUCGGUAAGUGGGAUGUGAAAUCCCCGGGCUCACCCCGGGACCUGCAUCCCAAACUGCUGAGCUUGAGUACAGGAGAGGGUGGGGGAAUUCCGGGUGUAGCGGUGAAAUGCGUAGAUAUCUGGAGGAACACCGGUGGCGAAGGCGCCCACCUGGCCUGCUACUGACGCUGAUGCGCGAAAGCUAGGGGAGCAAACGGG
rnacentral:rRNA from 1 species